rnacentral:rRNA from 1 species
AGAGUUUGAUCAUGGCUCAGAUUGAACGCUGGCGGCAGGCCUAACACAUGCAAGUCGAGCGGUAGAGAGGUGCUUGCACCUCUUGAGAGCGGCGGACGGGUGAGUAAUACCUAGGAAUCUGCCUGGUAGUGGGGGAUAACGUUCGGAAACGGACGCUAAUACCGCAUACGUCCUACGGGAGAAAGCAGGGGACCUUCGGGCCUUGCGCUAUCAGAUGAGCCUAGGUCGGAUUAGCUAGUUGGUGGGGUAAUGGCUCACCAAGGCGACGAUCCGUAACUGGUCUGAGAGGAUGAUCAGUCACACUGGAACUGAGACACGGUCCAGACUCCUACGGGAGGCAGCAGUGGGGAAUAUUGGACAAUGGGCGAAGGCCUGAUCCAGCCAUGCCGCGUGUGUGAAGAAGGUCUUCGGAUUGUAAAGCACUUUAAGUUGGGAGGAAGGGUUGUAGAUUAAUACUCUGCAAUUUUGACGUUACCGACAGAAUAAGCACCGGCUAACUCUGUGCCAGCAGCCGCGGUAAUACAGAGGGUGCAAGCGUUAAUCGGAAUUACUGGGCGUAAAGCGCGCGUAGGUGGUUUGUUAAGUUGGAUGUGAAAUCCCCGGGCUCAACCUGGGAACUGCAUUCAAAACUGACUGACUAGAGUAUGGUAGAGGGUGGUGGAAUUUCCUGUGUAGCGGUGAAAUGCGUAGAUAUAGGAAGGAACACCAGUGGCGAAGGCGACCACCUGGACUAAUAC